UCACGCUGCUUUCACAAACCUUUCCCAAAUUCAAUAUUCAAACUCACAAUUCGAUUCUUUCAAUCUUCUCCCUUGUACCUCUAACCCACCCGAUUUCAUAUCCAAAUCCACCCUCAAACCUUCAGAAAUAUACAAACAAGUGCACCCCAAUCUGCAAAAAGAUGCACAUAAACUUCUGUAUUUUCAAUUCUAAUCAUUCUAUUAGUUCCUAGCUUUUCUAAUUUCAGAGUUUGAACCUGGCCCACGUUUUCUCUUUCUUCUAAUUGGGUUUGUAUUGUAUAUGAUCGAAGAUGUAUAGCAAUUUCAAGGAGCAAGCGAUCGAGUACGUGAGGCAAGCAGUGCAAGAAGACAACGCUGGUAACUAUGCAAAAGCAUUCCCUCUUUACAUGAACGCUUUGGAGUACUUCAAAACCCAUUUAAAGUACGAGAAAAACCCUAAGAUUAAGGAAGCGAUUACUCAGAAAUUUACCGAGUAUUUGCGCCGGGCGGAGGAGAUCCGAGCUGUGUUGGAUGAGGGUGGUACCGGGCCAGGUCCGAAUGGAGGGGAUGCGGCUGUGGCGACAAGGCCCAAGACGAAGACGAAACCCAAGGAUGGAGAAGAUGGGGAGGAUCCUGAACAGUCCAAGUUGAGGGCUGGGCUUAACUCCGCGAUUGUUAGGGAGAAACCUAAUAUUAAGUGGAAUGAUGUUGCUGGGUUGGAAAGCGCUAAGCAAGCUUUGCAGGAAGCUGUGAUUUUGCCUGUGAAGUUCCCUCAGUUCUUCACCGGCAAGAGGAGGCCAUGGAGAGCUUUUCUUUUAUAUGGUCCUCCUGGGACAGGAAAAUCUUACUUGGCCAAAGCUGUUGCUACUGAAGCAGAAUCCACUUUUUUCAGUUGGCAAGUGCCAACUGCUGUUUUUAUGCAGUGUCUCAUCAUCGGAUCUCGUUUCCAAGUGGAUGGGGGAAAGUGAAAAGCUAGUUUCGAACCUAUUCCAAAUGGCUCGCGAAAGUGCCCCAUCCAUUAUAUUCGUCGAUGAAAUUGAUUCCUUGUGUGGGCAGCGAGGAGAAGGAAAUGAAAGUGAAGCUUCUAGACGUAUUAAAACAGAACUGCUUGUGCAGAUGCAGGGUGUUGGACACAAUGAUGAUAAAGUUCUUGUUCUUGCGGCAACAAAUACACCCUAUGCCCUAGAUCAGGCUAUUCGCCGAAGAUUUGAUAAGCGCAUCUACAUUCCUCUACCAGAUGCGAAGGCACGACAACACAUGUUCAAAGUUCAUUUAGGGGAUACCCCCCAUAACUUAAGUGAGAGCGACUUUGAAGACUUGGGCCGUAAAACAGAAGGUUUUUCUGGUUCGGAUGUUUCUGUGUGUGUCAAAGAUGUACUCUUUGAACCUGUUCGUAAAACACAAGAUGCUAUGUUCUUCACCCAGAGAUCUGAUGGUACAUGGAUGCCGUGUGGACCGAAACAACCGGGUGCUGUGCAGACAACUAUGCAGGAGCUUGAUGCUAAAGGACUUGCAUCUCAGAUCAUCCCCCCACCCAUUUCGAAAACAGACUUUGAUAAGGUGCUUGCUCGUCAACGACCAACAGUAAGUAAGUCGGACCUUGAUGUGCACGAAAGAUUCACCAAGGAGUUUGGAGAAGAAGGUUGAAGAAACUGAGCGGCUAUUCCUGCAGUUGCCAAGAUUUGUAGUUUACUUGUGUGUUGUGCCUGAAAAACAUGAUUCAAAGGCUCUUUAAAUGGAAAGUUGACUUUGUUUACCCUUUCCUUCUGGGGUGUUUCAGUUUUACACUUCAAAAUCUUAUUGCAAUUCAAUUACUUCAGUAAUUGUAAGCAACUGCAAGUACCAAAGUUUCUCUGAUUUCCUCUUUAUCAGUAUGUUCAUAGUUAUUCUGGAAAAUCUGAACCUGCCUUUUUAUUUUUAUUUUUAUGAUGAA